UACGGGGGGAGCAAGCGUUGUUCGGAUUCACUGGGCUUAAAGGGCGCGUAGGCGGGCCGGCAAGUCCGGGGUGAAAUCCCACGGCUCAACCGUGGAAUAGCCUUGGAUACUGCCGGUCUCGAGGGAGGUAGGGGCGUGUGGAACUUCCGGUGGAGCGGUGAAAUGCGUAGAUAUUCGGAAGAACACCAGUGGCGAAGGCGGCAUCCUGGACCGGCAUUGACGCUGAGGAGCGAAAGCUAGGGGAGCAAACAGG
rnacentral:rRNA from 1 species